rnacentral:rRNA from 1 species
UACGUAGGGUGCAGGCGUUAAUCGGAAUUACUGGGCGUAAAGCGUGCGCAGGCGGUCUGCUAAGAGAGGUGUGAAAUCCCCGGGCUUAACCUGGGAACUGCGCUUCUAACUGGCAGGCUUGAGUGUGGCAGAGGGGGGUGGAAUUCCACGUAUAGCAGUGAAAUGCGUAGAGAUGUGGAGGAACACCGAUGGCGAAGGCAGCCCCCUGGGCUAACACUGACGCUCAUGCACGAAAGCGUGGGGAGCAAACAGG